rnacentral:lncRNA from 1 species
CUGUUGAAGGACAUUGUGUGUAUAUACCAUGUUUUCUUUAUCUAUUCAUCUGUUGAAGGACACCUAGGCUUGUUCCAUAGCUUAGCUAUUGGGAAUUGAGAUUCUAUAAACAUUGAUGUGGCUGUGUCACUGUGGUAUGCUGUUUUUAAGUCCUUUGGGUAUAAAGUGAGGAGUGGGAUAACUGGGUCAAAUGAUGGUUCCAUUCCAAUUUUUCUGAGGAAUCUCCAUCCUGCUUUCUAGAUUGACUGCACCAAUUUGAAGUCCCACCAGCAAUGUAUAUCUUUUCCCUCACAUCCUCACCAACAUUUAUUAUCACUUGCCUUCUUGAUAAUUGCCAUUCUUACUAGAGUGAGGUGAAAUCUCAGGGUGGUUUUAAUUGGAUUUCUCUAAUUGCUAGAGAUGUUGAACUUUUUUUUUCCUUUUUUAUGGUACCAGGGAUUGAACUCACUGGCACUUGACCCCAAGCCACAUCCCCAGCCCUAUUUUGUAUUUUUAUUUAGAAACAGGGUCUCACUGAGUUGCUUAGUGCCUUACUUUUGCUGGGGCUGGCUUUGAACUUGGGAUUCUCCUGCCUCAGCCUCCUGAGCCACUGGGACUACAAGCAUGCACCACCGUGCCUGGCUUGAACAUUUUUUCGUAUAUUUGUUGACCAUCCAUAUUUCUUCUUCUGUAAAGUGCCUCUUCAGUUCCUUUGCCCAUUUAUCAACUGUGUUAUUUGUUGUUGGUUUUCUUGUUUGUUUGUUUGUUUGUGUAGUUGUUUUAGUGUUGUUUGAGUUCUUUAUAUAUCUUGGAGAUUAAUGCUCUAUCUGAGGUGCAGUUGGCAAAGAUUUUCUCCCAUUCUGUGGGCUCUCUCUUCAUGUUCUUUAAUUGUCUCCUUUGCUGUGAAGAAGCUUUUUAGUUUGAUACCAUCCCAUUUAUUGAUUCUUGAUUUUACUUCUUGCACUUUAGAAGUCUUAUUAAGGAAUUUGGUUCCUAAGCCAAAAUGAUGGAGAGUUGGGCCCACUUUUUCUUCUCAUAGGCACAGGGUCUCUGGCCUAAUGCCUACCUCCUUGAUCCACUUUGAGUUACAAUCUUGCAUUUAACACGAAUCUUGACACAUGAUAGAUGUUCAACAAAUCUUUAAAAAAAAAAAGUUUGAUUAAUGAAGUCUCUAUUGCCUCUAUAAAGAAGGAGACUG